rnacentral:tRNA from 1 species
GGAGCGUAGCUUAAAGGAUAGAGCAGCGGCGCGCAGUAAAGACAGCAGUAUAGGCGGUUCGAUUCCGCCUCGCUCCA